GGAAAGUUGCAAAGAACUUUGAAGAGAGAGUUCAAGAGAACGUGAAAUCGCUGAAGUGGAACCGGAGAGAGUUAACUUAACUUGGUAGCUAUAUUCUCUAGGGUCGCUUAACUGUGGCUCUGGGGGGUGGACGCUACCUGUUGUUGCACUGACUGCGUUGAUCGUGCUUUCCGAACAGUGUAGUGUUGCCCACUUUGUGGUGUCUUGCUCGCUGGGAGGUUUGUCAUGGUUAACGUAUAGCCUUAGUCCCGAGGGAGUCAGUGUGAAAGUUAACCACCUUUCCGACCCGUCUUGAAACACGGACCGAGGAGUGUUGGUUAUACGCGAGUCAAGGAGUGGUGAAAACUCUAGGGGCGGAAUGAAAGUAAAGACUAGUUAACUAGUUGACAUGGGAUCCGCUCUUCGGAGCGGCGCACCAUGGCCCUGUCUUGUCUGCUUGCAGAUGGGCAGCGGUAGAGCGUAUAGCUUGCGACCCGAAAGAUGGUGAACUAUGCUUGAGCAGGACGAAGCCAGAGGAAACUCUGGUGGAAGUCCGUAUCGGUUCUGACGUGCAAAUCGAUCGAU
rnacentral:rRNA from 1 species